AACUCCGGGGUAGAUGACCGUGGACAGCAGCAUGAGCAGUGGGUACUGCAGCCUGGACGAGGAACUGGAAGACUGCUUCUUCACUGCUAAGACUACCUUUUUCAGAAAUGCGCAGAGCAAACAUCUUUCAAAGAAUGUCUGUAAACCUGUGGAGGAGACACAGCGCCCGCCCACACUGCAGGAGAUCAAGCAGAAGAUCGACAGCUACAACACGCGAGAGAAGAACUGCCUGGGCAUGAAACUGGUAAGCGCCCGUCCACCCUCAACCUGGCCCCUGCUCCACCACCCCCUUCGGGUUUGGCACCUCUGCCCUCGCUCUGAAUUCUGUGACUACUCCCUGGCAGGUCCCUCCCUUUCCUCCGGCCUCCAGAGGCCUCCGGGGUCUGGAAGGCUGAUAGCCAGAGCCCUCAGUGGCCUCCAUGUGCUUUAGGGAAAUAGAUCUGACUCUUUCAUUUUUUGCUUGUGAUUUUGGGAAGCUCUUUUAACUCCUCUGAGCUUCAGUGUAAACUAAGUGAUUAAAUGGUACGUAAUGACCAAGGGCCCAGUAUUGCUUGGCCU
rnacentral:sRNA from 1 species